GAUGAACGCUAGCUACAGGCUUAACACAUGCAAGUCGAGGGGUAACGAGAGGAAAGCUUGCUUUCCUUGUCGACGACCGGCGCACGGGUGAGUAACGCGUAUCCAACCUGCCCCCAACUAAGGAAUAACCUUGCGAAAGUAAGACUAAUACCUUAUAAUUUCCUCAGAUGCCAUCUGACGAGGAAUAAAGAUUUAUCGGUUGUGGAUGGGGAUGCGUCUGAUUAGCUUGUUGGCGGGGUAACGGCCCACCAAGGCAACGAUCAGUAGGGGUUCUGAGGGGAAGGUCCCCCACAUUGGAACUGAGACACGGUCCAAACUCCUACGGGAGGCAGCAGUGAGGAAUAUUGGUCAAUGGGCGAAAGCCUGAACCAGCCAAGUAGCGUGCAGGAUGACGGCCCUAUGGGUUGUAAACUGCUUUUAUACAGGAAUAAAGUUAGCCACGUGUGGUUAUUUGUAGGUACUGUAUGAAUAAGGACCGGCUAAUUCCGUGCCAGCAGCCGCGGUAACAC
rnacentral:rRNA from 1 species